GAAUAUUGGACAAUGGGCGAAAGCCUGAUCCAGCAAUGCCGCGUGAGUGAUGAAGGCCUUAGGGUUGUAAAGCUCUUUUACCCGGGAUGAUAAUGACAGUACCGGGAGAAUAAGCUCCGGCUAACUCCGUGCCAGCAGCCGCGGUAAUACGGAGGGAGCUAGCGUUGUUCGGAAUUACUGGGCGUAAAGCGCACGUAGGCGGCUUUUUAAGUCAGGGGUGAGAUCCCGGGGCUCAACCUCGGAACUGCCCUUGAAACUGGAAAGCUAGAAUCUUGGAGAGGUCAGUGGAAUUCCGAGUGUAGAGGUGAAAUUCGUAGAUAUUCGGAUGAACACCAGUGGCGAAGGCGACUGACUGGACAAGUAUUGACGCUGAGGUGCGAAAGCGUGGGGAGCAAACAGG
rnacentral:rRNA from 1 species